rnacentral:rRNA from 1 species
ACCGAACGCUGGCGGCAUGCCUAACACAUGCAAGUCGAACGAAGGCUUCGGCCUUAGUGGCGCACGGGUGCGUAACGCGUGGGAAUCUGCCCUUGGGUGCGGAAUAACUCAGAGAAAUUUGUGCUAAUACCGCAUAAUGUCGCAAGACCAAAGAUUUAUCGCCCAAGGAUGAGCCCGCGUAGGAUUAGCUUGUUGGUGAGGUAAGAGCUCACCAAGGCGACGAUCCUUAGCUGGUCUGAGAGGAUGAUCAGCCACACUGGGACUGAGACACGGCCCAGACUCCUACGGGAGGCAGCAGUGGGGAAUAUUGGACAAUGGGCGAAAGCCUGAUCCAGCAAUGCCGCGUGAGUGAUGAAGGCCUUAGGGUUGUAAAGCUCUUUUACCCGGGAUGAUAAUGACAGUACCGGGAGAAUAAGCUCCGGCUAACUCCGUGCCAGCAGCCGCGGUAA